rnacentral:tRNA from 2 species
GCCGGAGUGGCGGAACUGGCAGACGCGACGGAUUCAAAAUCCGUUACCCUUUAAAGGUGUGUGGGUUCGACUCCCUCCUCCGGCA